GACGAACGCUGGCGGCGUGCUUAACACAUGCAAGUCGAACGGUAAGGCCCUUCGGGGUACACGAGUGGCGAACGGGUGAGUAACACGUGGGUGAUCUGCCCUGCACUUCGGGAUAAGCCUGGGAAACUGGGUCUAAUACCGGAUAGGACUCCGGACUGCAUGGUCUGGGGUGGAAAGCUUUUGCGGUGUGGGAUGGGCGCCGCGGCCUAUCAGCUUGUUGGUGGGGGGAUGGCCUACCAAGGCGACGAAGGGUAGACGGCCGGAGACGCGGACCGGCCACACUGGGACUGAGAUACGGCCCAGACUCCUACGGGAGGCAGCAGUGGGGAAUAUUGCACAAUGGGCGCAAGCCUGAUGCAGCGACGCCGCGUGAGGGAUGACGGCCUUCGGGUUGUAAACCUCUUUCAGCAUCGACGAAGCGAAAGUGACGGUAGGUGCAGAAGAAGUACCGGCCAACUACGUGCCAGCAGCCGCCGCCG
rnacentral:rRNA from 1 species